CCUACGGGAGGCAGCAGUGAGGAAUAUUGGUCAAUGGGCGCGAGCCUGAACCAGCCAAGUCGCGUGAGGGAGGACGGCCCUACGGGUUGUAAACCUCUUUUGCCGGGGAGCAACGGGCGUCACGUGUGGCGCCACUGAGAGUACCCGGAGAAAAAGCAUCGGCUAACUCCGUGCCAGCAGCCGCGGUAAUACGGAGGAUGCGAGCGUUAUCCGGAUUUAUUGGGUUUAAAGGGUGCGCAGGCGGAAUGUCAAGUCAGCGGUAAAAUUUCGGGGCUCAACCCCGUCGUGCCGUUGAAACUGGCGUUCUUGAGUGAGCGAGAAGUAUGCGGAAUGCGUGGUGUAGCGGUGAAAUGCAUAGAUAUCACGCAGAACUCCGAUUGCGAAGGCAGCAUACCGGCGCUCAACUGACGCUCAUGCACGAAAGCGUGGGUAUCGAACAGGAUUAGAUACCCUGGUAGUC
rnacentral:rRNA from 1 species